UACAGAGGUCUCAAGCGUUGUUCGGAUUCAUUGGGCGUAAAGGGUGCGUAGGCGGCGCGGUAAGUCGGGUGUGAAAUCUUGGAGCUUAACUCCGAAACUGCAUUCGAUACUGCCGUGCUUGAGGACUGGAGAGGAGACUGGAAUUUACGGUGUAGCGGUGAAAUGCGUAGAUAUCGUAAGGAAGACCAGUGGCGAAGGCGGGUCUCUGGACAGUGCCUGACACUGAGGCACGAAGGCCAGGGGAGCAAACGGG
rnacentral:rRNA from 1 species